AUCUCGCGAGACUACCGUAGGUGACGGCUGCUUGACGCUCAGCAGGCUGGAUGUUUGACGCUGCUGCUAACUGUCUUUUCUUAUCUCACCGUUCACCUGAAAUGGAUGCGGUUGUUCACGUUCGUUAAAAUAUUCGUAUAUUUAUAAAAUUAACAUUGCCGUAACGGUUGGACGAAGUCCAAAAUGGAGGCGGGUGAAGGUGUGAGCAGUGCCACGCCCACAGAUGAGAUGAAUGGAGCUGGCAACUUGAUGGACUUCCUGGAGGAACCUUUUCCCGACGUGGCGACAUAUGAAGACUUUCAUACCAUCGACUGGCUGAGAGAGAAGUCACGAGACACCGACCGCCAUCGCAAGAUCACCAGCAAGAGUAAAGAGUCGAUGUGGGAGCUGAUCAAGAGCCUGCUGGAUGCCUGGUCGGGAUGGGUUGUGAUGCUGCUUAUUGGACUCCUCUCAGGUACGCUGGCUGGAGUCAUUGACCUGGCAGUAGACUGGAUGACAGACCUGAAAGAAGGUGUGUGUCUGUCCGCCUUCUGGUAUAGCCACGAGCAGUGCUGCUGGACAUCCAAUGAGACAACCUUUGACGACCGUGACAAGUGUCCGCAGUGGCAGAAGUGGGCAGAGUUGAUGACAGGCCAUUCUGAGGGUGCAGGACCGUAUGUGUUAAACUACUUCCUGUACAUCCUGUGGGCUCUUUUCUUCUCCUUUCUGGCCGUGUCACUAGUGAGAGUGUUUGCGCCGUACGCUUGCGGCUCCGGAAUCCCAGAGAUCAAGACCAUCCUCAGUGGCUUUAUCAUCCGUGGUUAUUUGGGAAAAUGGACACUGCUCAUCAAGACUGUCACGCUGGUGCUGGCUGUGUCAUCGGGCCUCAGCUUGGGGAAGGAAGGUCCUCUGGUCCAUGUUGCAUGCUGCUGUGGGAACCUCUUCUGCAGCCUCUUCUCCAAGUACAGCAAGAACGAGGGGAAGCGACGAGAGGUGUUAUCGGCUGCAGCAGCGGCUGGUGUGUCGGUGGCUUUUGGGGCACCCAUUGGAGGGGUCCUGUUUAGUCUGGAGGAGGUCAGCUACUACUUUCCUCUGAAGACGUUAUGGCGAUCGUUCUUCGCCGCACUGGUCGCUGCUUUCACACUGCGCUCCAUCAACCCAUUUGGCAACAGCCGCCUGGUUCUGUUCUACGUGGAAUACCACACGCCGUGGUACAUGGCCGAGCUGGUGCCCUUCAUCCUUCUGGGCGUCUUUGGUGGCCUUUGGGGGACCCUCUUCAUUCGCGCCAAUAUCGCCUGGUGUCGGCGGAGAAAGACAACUGAGCUGGGAAAAUACCCAGUUCUGGAAGUCAUCGCAGUGACGGCGAUCACCGCCGUGCUGGCAUAUCCUAACCCGUACACACGGCGCAGUACUAGUGAGCUCAUCUCUGAGCUCUUUAACGACUGUGGAGCGCUGGAGUCGUCGCAGCUCUGCGACUACAUCAACAACCCCAAUAUGAGCCGACCCAUUGACGACAUCCCGGACCGCCCAGCUGGCCCCGGUGUUUACAAUGCUCUAUGGCAGCUGGCGCUCGCUCUCAUCUUCAAGAUCGUCAUCACCAUCUUCACCUUUGGCAUGAAGAUCCCAUCAGGGCUCUUCAUUCCCAGCAUGGCGGUGGGUGCCAUCGCAGGUCGCAUUGUAGGGAUUGCCGUGGAGCAAAUGGCGUACCACCAUCAUGACUGGAUCAUUUUCAAAAACUGGUGCAGACCCGGCGCCGAUUGCGUCACACCUGGACUCUACGCCAUGGUGGGUGCCGCUGCCUGUCUGGGUGGUGUGACCAGGAUGACUGUCUCUUUAGUGGUCAUUAUGUUUGAGCUCACCGGCGGUCUGGAGUACAUUGUUCCAUUGAUGGCAGCCGCUGUCACCAGCAAGUGGGUGGCUGAUGCCUUUGGGAAAGAAGGCAUCUAUGAGUCACACAUACAGCUCAACGGGUACCCAUACCUGGAUGUCAGGGAUGAGUUCACCCACCGCACCUUGGCUGCUGACGUGAUGCGGCCUCGAAGGAAUGACCCACCGCUGGCCGUCCUUACGCAGGAUGCCACCACCGUGGAGGAUGUUGAGGCGCUGAUCAAAGACACGGAUUAUAACGGCUUCCCAGUAGUUGUGUCCCGGGAGUCUGAGCGGCUCAUCGGCUUUGUGCAGCGCAGAGACCUCACCCUCGCCAUCAAAAACGCCCGUCAGAAGCAAGAUGGCGUGGUUAGCAGCUCAAUGGUCUACUUCACAGAGGACGCGCCGCAGUUGCCGGCCAGCACCCCGCACCCGCUGAAACUGCGUCGCAUACUGAACCUGAGUCCUUUUACCGUCACAGACCACACACCCAUGGAAACUGUGGUGGACAUAUUCCGCAAGCUGGGCCUCCGCCAGUGUCUGGUCACACGCAGCGGGCGUCUGCUCGGCAUUAUCACCAAGAAGGAUGUUCUCCGUCACAUGGCGCAAAUGAUGAACCAGGAUCCUGAGUCCAUCAUGUUCAAUUAGCUUUGCGACAUGCUGCACCCUGUAAAAUUGUGAUAAUGCCCUCUCACCUCUCGACAGAUUUUCACUCCCUGUGCGUGCCUCAAACCUGGUUGAAGAACUCCUGCAGCAGACAGUCCAGCCAGGGCUCGGCCACAUUCAUCGGUCUUGCCUCGUUGGAGAUGUCGCUCACCUUCACCAUGAUUUUCAUCAACUGCACAUACAAGCCAAGGAGCACUGUUGAGUCAGAGAGCUACAGACACAUCUUGCAUCACAAGACAUCCUCGACCCAAAUCAGAACCGGCCCACUCACCUCAUGUUGAGGAACUUCCUGCGAACCUGCUGGCGUUCCUCAACCAUGCUCAGCUGAGGCCCCCUGGUUUUAGGCGGGCCCUCAUCCCUGAACAGACCCAUCCAGCUCAGGUGCUUGACACCCUUAACGGGGAAUAAACAUGUCAGCUGUGGCACGUGAGCUGUCCCCGAGACUCGACAGGGCUACAAACCUCCAGCUUGCGCUUGAAGGACUCCACCUGACUCUUCAGCUCACAAAUGAUUUCUGGCGUCUUCCCUGACUCUUCGAGGACUUUGGUCUCCAGGUGACACAGCCUGAUCGCACAUGCACGAUAGGAAACGAGAGCGCUCACUUUGGAGGUCAGACGCCACCACCUCCAGCCGGUAGUACGAGUCCUGGCUGUUGGGCUCCAGCAUGGGCGAGAUAUUCACCACGCUGCCAUUGGCUUUGUACAUCUUCAGGAUGUGAUGAGGAGCCGCGUCUGCCGCCACUCGGAACAGGUCUGUCACGUGUGACAGUCAGGUAUGAACAGCUUCAUAAAUCACGUUUGUCCUUUUUGAGUAAAGCAACUGGUGGUAUAAAUGAACACUUCCGUCAACAUUUGGAUUGGACAGAUCGGUUCAAAUCUGAUACCAAGUGUAGUAUCAGUAUCAGGCCGAUACUGAUGUGGUGAGAUUGAUUUUUUUUUUCUUCGUAUGCAAGCAUAUCUCUGAGAUUGUGUUGUUCAUAUUGUUUUAUUAGGGAAAUAAGCUAUUGGACACAGGGGGGAUUUGGAGGCAAAAUGCCAAAUUAUUUGAAAGGAAGCCAAAAUUAGUUUGUCCUUUUUUUUUUUAUAGUUAUUUUGCAUCUUUGACUUUAUAUUUGUUUAAACAAUUGUACGUAAUAAAAGUGAAUACAGAUUUGUUUUGAAUAUGUUCAUAUUGUCUAAUAUUUCUGUAUUUACGUAUUACAGUACUUACUUGAUUUUAGAUCAACAUCAAAAUGUGCAGAAUUGCCCACCACUUGUAAACAUGCUCAGUCCUAAAUCAGUGCUGUGUAUUUCAAAAAAAAAAAAAAUCUAGUGUUUUUGUCUUUGAUCAAAUCUGCCAAUUGAAUAAAUGUGCCAGUUGACACAUGGAUUAUGAAUCUGUGUCAACGUGACAAAACC